AACCUCAGAGCACAUUCACAAAAAAUACUGGCAAUUUUGGAUGGUUCAGAAGAUGCUCGGAAUCCACGGGAGCAACACGCGCCUGCACAUGCAGUCUAUUCUUGUUGUUAUAUAUAGGCCUCGUAAGCUUGUUGAUGCAUAUCUAUCAUUAGAAUCAGGGUGCUGCAUUGCAAAGGGACCAAUCCGACUUUGUUAUAUUGAUUCAAUUACAAUAGAAUAUUAUUAUUGUACUGUUGCGCAAUAUUACUACCUACAUAUUUCGUUUAUAAGGCAGUGGCACUGUUGGUUUUCAAUUGUGCACAGUGCAUAUUUGUGUUGAAAUGAGGAAUCCACAUCUACUCAGUGAUGGCUGGAAAACAAUCAAUGCAAAGGAUGCAACUGGGAAUAAAAAGUUUAAACGAAAAGGUCGGGACCCAAAACGUGUCACCAGUGAAGAAGUCCAAAGUUUUGCGGAUGAUUUAAGAGUGGAAGACGACUCUAUGGGGGAACUGAUGGAAGAGACAUGUAGAAACCGUGUCCAAAAAAGACUGCAGGACCCUGGUACAGUUUUAUCUGUGGAGAAAUCUAUCAUUUCAUCUGAUAACCCGAAUAUUGCUAUUGACAUGAGGAUAAAUGCUUUACCAUCUACAGUUACUGGGACGCUCCCAUCACAGCCGCAGCCUUUUUCCGAGUCAACAUCAACAAGCAGAGACUCCUUUCACAGCACAUUCCCACAGGUUACAAGUUAUGACCAUCAACAGUCAUUUGUGUCUGAUCACACAUUACAGUCCCGGGUCGUCCUGUGCCAGCGCUCCGAGAGGUCCCUCUCCUCAGCUUCUCAGGCGUCCUACAUCAAUAGCAGCGACCUGAUGGAAUCGCCAAGGAAACGGCUGGGAGAAACGUCUGGCGUCAUCACUGAGAUCAGAGCAGUUCAGCAGACACGGAGGCUACUGGCUAAUGCCAGAGAGAGGACCCGGGUGCAUACCAUCAGUGCAGCCUUUGAGGCGCUGAGAAAGCAGGUGCCCUGCUACUCCUAUGGACAGAAGUUGUCAAAGCUGGCUAUUUUAAGAAUCGCCUGCAACUACAUCCUGUCGUUGGCUCAGCUUGCAGACCUGGACUACACCCCAGAUAACGGCAACAUGAGCUUCAGAGAGUGUGUGGAGCAGUGCACCCGCACCCUGCAGGCCGAGGGACGCUCCAAGAAGAGAAAGGCCACAUGCAGCAAUGACAAGAUGGGUUGAGACAUUGACAUGGAAAUGGACUCCUGCAAGUGGAAAGUACUCAAGCACACAGAUGGAGACAUUGCUGAGGACUAAAAUCAGUGGCGUGAACCAGACUUCUUAAACCAGGCCCUUGAAAUAAAGCAGCUCUUCACACCUCUUCUUGAGGUUCUUCAAGGCCCCUCCUGGGAGGGGACUACAAAAGCAGGCACUUAGACAUAUGAUGGACCUAAUUUCAUAGGCCUACUUGAUACCCUUUGAGCUAGCAGGCAUAUCAACAAUCACCAGUUAUGGAUAUCUUUCUCCCUGUCAUGUGUUGGAAGGAACAGUUGAAAGUGUGGAGACAGCAUUGGAUGUUCUUUAUGCAAACAUGCAAGCAUAUGCCUGGUGGAUGAUGUCAGAUUGUUUAAUCACAUGACAAUGACAUUUUAGUCCUUUAGCAGAUGCUCUUAUCUUGAGCAUCUUACAAUAGUGAUCGCGUACAAUUUUCAUCCUUUUUUGUUUUCUGUACUGGUCCUCCAUGGGAAUUGAACCCACAACCCAAGUGCCAUGCUUUACCAACUGAGAAACACAGGACAAACUGAAGGCAGAGACAGCAGUGAAUAUAAGAGUUCAUAACUGAAAUUUUAACAUUUGUAUUCAACUAUAAAUCCCAAUGCCUUUUCAAUGAUGUACAAGUUGUUAUCUUGACAGUAUGAUUUGUAAUUCCUGGACAAUGGAAACUAACUAUUGAAAGAGCUCAUACAUAUAUAUGACUAGAACGUAACGUGAAAUAAUAUGACAUACAGUAAUGGUAUUUUAUUCAGCAACUGUUUUCAUGUGUUGAAGAAUGAAUGAAGUAAAAUGGGUUAUUCUCUGCUACCUGUGCUCAGUAUUUAACAACAUCCCAGAUUGAUACAUUUAAAAGUGACCUCCCUUUCCUUUUCAGCAUGAACAUUCUCUGACUGUUGUUCUGUGCCCAUCAAGCACUUUCUAACCAGAAAUAAAGAAACUGUUGUUCAUGUA